rnacentral:rRNA from 1 species
GGACAACUGCCCUCGGGUGGGGGAUAACCCCGGGAAACUGGGGCUAAUCCCCCAUAGGGGAUGGGUACUGGAAUGUCCCAUCUCCGAAAGCGCUUAGCGCCCGAGGAUGGGUCUGCGGCGGAUUAGGUUGUUGGUGGGGUAACGGCCCACCAAGCCGAAGAUCCGUACGGGCCAUGAGAGUGGGAGCCCGGAGAUGGACCCUGAGACACGGGUCCAGGCCCUACGGGGCGCAGCAGGCGCGAAACCUCCGCAAUGCGGGAAACCGCGACGGGGUCAGCCGGAGUGCUCGCGCAUCGCGCGGGCUGUCGGGGUGCCUAAAAAGCACCCCAUAGCAAGGGCCGGGCAAGGCCGGUGGCAGCCGCCGCGGUAAUACCGGCGGCCCGAGUGGCGGCCACUUUUAUUGGGCCUAAAGCGUCCGUAGCCGGGCUGGUAAGUCCUCCGGGAAAUCUGGUCGCUUAACGAUCAGACUGCCGGAGGAUACUGCCAGCCUAGGGACCGGGAGAGGCCGGGGGUAUUCCCGGGGUAGGGGUGAAAUCCUGUAAUCCCGGGAGGACCACCUGUGGCGAAGGCGCCCGGCUGGAACGGGUCCGACGGUGAGGGACGAAGGCCAGGGGAGCGAACCGGAUUAGAUACCCGGGUAGUCCUGGCUGUAAACGAUGCGGACUAGGUGUCACCGAAGCUACGAGCUUCGGUGGUGCCGGAGGGAAGCCGUUA